GGGACCUGAUCUGGUAGUAGCCAAGCGAUGGGGUGACGCAGGAAGGUAGCUGGGCCAGUCAGUGGUUGUACUGGUGUAAGAGUGUAGGCCGUGACAUAGGCAAAUCCGUGUCACAUUAAGGCUGAGACUUGAUGCAUACCCGUUGUGGGGAAUUCAGUGAUCCUAUGCUGCCGAGAAAAGCCUCUAGUGAGUUCAUACACGGCCCGUACCCCAAACCGACACAGGUGAUCAGGUAGAGAAUACCAAGGCGAUCGAGAGAACUGUGGUUAAGGAACUCGGCAAAAUGCCCCCGUAACUUCGGGAGAAGGGGGACCAUGCCCGGUGAACAUCUUCACGGUGGGAGCUGGGUGUGGUCGCAGAGACCAGAGAGAAGCGACUGUUUACUAAAAACACAGGUCCGUGCGAAGACGUAAGUCGAUGUAUACGGACUGACGCCUGCCCGGUGCUGGAAGGUUAAGAGGACCGGUUAGCCGUAAGGCGAAGCUGAGAAUUUAAGCCCCAGUAAACGGCGGUGGUAACUAUAACCAUCCUAAGGUAGCGAAAUUCCUUGUCGGGUAAGUUCCGACCUGCACGAAUGGCGUAACGACUUCUCUGCUGUCUCGACCACAGACUCGGCGAAAUUGCGCUACGAGUAAAGAUGCUCGUUACGCGCGGCAGGACGAAAAGACCCCGGGACCUUUACUAUAGCUUGGUAUUGGCGUUCGAUUCGGUUUGUGUAGGAUAGGUGGGAGACUGUGAAGCAUGCACGCCAGUGUGUGUGGAGUCGUUGUUGAAAUACCACUCUGAUCGAAUUGGACGUCUAACCUCGGCCCAUGAUCUGGGUUAGGGACAGUGCCUGGUGGGUAGUUUAACUGGGGCGGUUGCCUCCUAAAGAGUAACGGAGGCGCCCAAAGGUUCCCUCAGCCUGGAUGGCAAUCAGGUGUUGAGUGCAAGUGCACAAGGGAGCUUGACUGUGAGACUGACACGUCGAGCAGGGACGAAAGUCGGGACUAGUGAUCCGGCACCGGCAAGUGGAAGCGGUGUCGCUCAACGGAUAAAAGGUACCCCGGGGAUAACAGGCUGAUCUUCCCCAAGAGUCCAUAUCGACGGGAUGGCUUGGCACCUCGAUGUCGGCUCGUCGCAUCCUGGGGCUGGAGUAGGUCCCAAGGGUUGGGCUGUUCGCCCAUUAAAGCGGCACGCGAGCUGGGUUUAGAACGUCGUGAGACAGUUCGGUCUCUAUCCGCCGCGCGCGUAAGAAACUUGAGGAAGGCUGUCCCUAGUACGAGAGGACCGGGACGGACGAACCUCUGGUGUGCCAGUUGUUCCACCAGGAGCAUGGCUGGUUAGCUACGUUCGGAAGGGAUAACCGCUGAAAGCAUCUAAGCGGGAAGCCUGUUCCAAGAUGAGGUUUCUCACCACCUUGCGUGGUUAAGGCCCCCUACAGACCAUGGGGUUGAUAGGCCGGAACUGGAAGCGCAGCAAUGCGUGGAGGUGACCGGUACUAAUAGGCCGAGGGCUU
rnacentral:rRNA from 1 species